GGAUUUCUUAUAAUGGUAACUAUAACAUGCAGGUCGAACGAACUCUGGUAUUGAUUGGUGCUUGCAUCAUGAUUUACAUUUGAGUGAGUGGCGAACUGGUGAGUAACACGUGGGAAACCUGCCCAGAAGCGGGGGAUAACACCUGGAAACAGAUGCUAAUACCGCAUAACAACUUGGACCGCAUGGUCCGAGUUUGAAAGAUGGCUUCGGCUAUCACUUUUGGAUGGUCCCGCGGCGUAUUAGCUAGAUGGUGGGGUAACGGCUCACCAUGGCAAUGAUACGUAGCCGACCUGAGAGGGUAAUCGGCCACAUUGGGACUGAGACACGGCCCAAACUCCUACGGGAGGCAGCAGUAGGGAAUCUUCCACAAUGGACGAAAGUCUGAUGGAGCAACGCCGCGUGAGUGAAGAAGGGUUUCGGCUCGUAAAACUCUGUUGUUAAAGAAGAACAUAUCUGAGAGUAACUGUUCAGGUAUUGACGGUAUUUAACCAGAAAGCCACGGCUAACUACGUGCCAGCAGCCGCGGUAAUACGUAGGUGGCAAGCGUUGUCCGGAUUUAUUGGGCGUAAAGCGAGCGCAGGCGGUUUUUUAAGUCUGAUGUGAAAGCCUUCGGCUCAACCGAAGAAGUGCAUCGGAAACUGGGAAACUUGAGUGCAGAAGAGGACAGUGGAACUCCAUGUGUAGCGGUGAAAUGCGUAGAUAUAUGGAAGAACACCAGUGGCGAAGGCGGCUGUCUGGUCUGUAACUGACGCUGAGGCUCGAAAGUAUGGGUAGCAAACAGGAUUAGAUACCCUGGUAGUCCAUACCGUAAACGAUGAAUGCUAAGUGUUGGAGGGUUUCCGCCCUUCAGUGCUGCAGCUAACGCAUUAAGCAUUCCGCCUGGGGAGUACGGCCGCAAGGCUGAAACUCAAAGGAAUUGACGGGGGCCCGCACAAGCGGUGGAGCAUGUGGUUUAAUUCGAAGCUACGCGAAGAACCUUACCAGGUCUUGACAUACUAUGCAAAUCUAAGAGAUUAGACGUUCCCUUCGGGGACAUGGAUACAGGUGGUGCAUGGUUGUCGUCAGCUCGUGUCGUGAGAUGUUGGGUUAAGUCCCGCAACGAGCGCAACCCUUAUUAUCAGUUGCCAGCAUUAAGUUGGGCACUCUGGUGAGACUGCCGGUGACAAACCGGAGGAAGGUGGGGAUGACGUCAAAUCAUCAUGCCCCUUAUGACCUGGGCUACACACGUGCUACAAUGGAUGGUACAACGAGUUGCGAACUCGCGAGAGUAAGCUAAUCUCUUAAAGCCAUUCUCAGUUCGGAUUGUAGGCUGCAACUCGCCUACAUGAAGUCGGAAUCGCUAGUAAUCGCGGAUCAGCAUGCCGCGGUGAAUACGUUCCCGGGCCUUGUACACACCGCCCGUCACACCAUGAGAGUUUGUAACACCCAAAGUCGGUGGGGUAACCUUUUAGGAACCAGCCGCCAUAAUAGGGGUCAAAAAGCG
rnacentral:rRNA from 2 species